rnacentral:tRNA from 1 species
GGUGGCUCAGUGGUAGAGUGCUUGCCUAGCAUGCAUGAGGCCCUGGGUUCGGUUCCUCAGCACCA